UACGUAGGGGGGCAAGCGUUGUCCGGAUUUAUUGGGCGUAAAGAGCGUGUAGGCGGCCAGAUAGGUCCGUUGUGAAAAACUGGAGGCUUAACCUCGAGACGUCGGCGGAAACCAUCUGGCUAGAGUCCGGAAGAGGAGAGUGGAAUUCCUGGUGUAGCGGUGAAAUGCGCAGAUAUCAGGAAGAACACCCGUGGCGAAGGCGGCUCUCUGGGACGGUACUGACGCUGAGACGCGAAAGCCAGGGGAGCAAACGGG
rnacentral:rRNA from 1 species